rnacentral:rRNA from 1 species
GACGAACGCUGGCGGCGUGCUUAACACAUGCAAGUCGAACGGAAAGGCCCUGCUUUUGUGGGGUGCUCGAGUGGCGAACGGGUGAGUAACACGUGAGUAACCUGCCCUUGACUUUGGGAUAACUUCAGGAAACUGGGGCUAAUACCGGAUAGGAGCUCCUGCUGCAUGGUGGGGGUUGGAAAGUUUCGGCGGUUGGGGAUGGACUCGCGGCUUAUCAGCUUGUUGGUGGGGUAGUGGCUUACCAAGGCUUUGACGGGUAGCCGGCCUGAGAGGGUGACCGGCCACAUUGGGACUGAGAUACGGCCCAGACUCCGACGGGAGGCAGCAGUGGGGAAUAUUGCACAAUGGGCGGAAGCCUGAGGCAGCAACGCCGCGUGCGGGAUGACGGCCUUCGGGUUGUAAACCGCUUUCGCCUGUGACGAAGCGUGAGUGACGGUAAUGGGUAAAGAAGCACCGGCUAACUACGUG